CCCUUAGAUGUUCUGGGCCGCACGCGCGCUACACUGAUGCAUUCAACGAGCCUAUCCUUGACCGACAGGUCCGGGUAAUCUUUGAAUCUGCAUCGUGACGGGGAUAGAUUAUUGCAAUUAUUAAUCUUCAACGAGGAAUUCCUAGUAAACGCAAGUCAUCAACUUGCAUUGAUUACGUCCCUGCCCUUUGUACACACCGCCCGUCGCACCUACCGAUUGAAUGGUCCGGUGAAGCCUCCGGAUUGGCGCGCACCUCGGUGCCGCCGAGAAGUUGGCUAAACCUUACCAUUUAGAGGAAGGUGAAGUCGUAACA
rnacentral:rRNA from 1 species